rnacentral:rRNA from 1 species
ACGAGCGGCGAACGGGUGAGUAACACGUGAGCAAUCUGCCCUUCUCUUUGGAAUAACCAUUGGAAACGAUGGCUAAUGCCGAAUAUGACCCCCCUUCGCAUGUUGGGGGGUGGAAAGCUCUGGCGGAGAGGGAUGAGCUCGCGGCCUAUCAGCUUGUUGGUGAGGUAAUGGCUCACCAAGGCAUUGACGGGUAGCCGGCCUGAGAGGGUGACCGGCCACACUGGGACUGAGACACGGCCCAGACUCCUACGGGAGGCAGCAGUGGGGAAUAUUGCACAAUGGGCGCAAGCCUGAUGCAGCAACGCCGCGUGAGGGACGACGGCCUUCGGGUUGUAAACCUCUUUUAGUAUUGACGAAGUCGCUCCUUUUUGGGGGUGGUGACGGUAGGUACAGAAGAAGCACCGGCCAACUACGUGCCAGCAGCCGCGGUAAUACGUAGGGUGCGAGCGUUGUCCGGAAUUAUUGGGCGUAAAGGGCUCGUAGGCGG